ACCGCAAUAGCACGUUGUUCAGGAGUUCCAAUCCCAGUAUAUGGUUCUGCCCUCUCACCCUCCUCCGUGGAUGACCCGGAUUCCACGAAUGGCAUCAAUGGGUCGAUAUGCAUUUAGUCCUUUUUAUAUUUAUCAACCAGAGUAGGAGCUUUAGCAAAUUUUUGAAGUUGUAAUAAAAAUUUAUAAAAAAAUUUAAUAUAAAAUAUACAUGAAUAUAAUCCGAAAAAUUUAACAAAAAAAUAUAUAAGACUAGACUUACAUGUUCAUGAGACCACCCAAUAAUACUAGUUCGACCCCAAUGGUGGUCGGUANNNNNNNNNNNNNNNNNNNNNNNNNNNNNNNNNNNNNNNNNNNNNNNNNNNNNNNNNNNNNNNNNNNNNNNNNNNNNNNNNNNNNNNNNNNNNNNNNNNNNNNNNNNNNNNNNNNNNNNNNNNNNNNNNNNNNNNNNNNNNNNNNNNNNNNNNNNNNNNNNNNNNNNNNNNNNNNNNNNNNNNNNNNNNNNNNNNNNNNNNNNNNNAUCCCUCCGGACGAUUUGCCUUAGCAGUGGCAAGAUCUGGUGCUCUAUCAUAAUUUGUUGUUCAAUACUUUAGUUCUAUGAUCUUUCUAACGAGCAUUGGCCGUAGCAUUGAACCAUUUCUUCGUAGAAUCUCGAUCAGGAAGUUUCCAUUUGUCCUAACAAGAAUAAAAAAAAUUCAUAUACAACAAAUCAAUUUAACUAACUAAGAAUUAUUAUUAAAUUUUUAAUAAUUUCAAAUACCUUGAAUCGUAACGACAAUUGCUCAACCCGACCUUCUUUUUUGUGCUUAGGCUAAGAAAUGCAAGGAAUAAAAAGGUCACAAUGUGUAACUUGACUAGCAAUGGCUCGCACCAAUCGGUUCCUCCCACGCCCGACUGGAAGACCUGCAUCGUUAAAGUCCACGUGUACUACUACAUCAUAAUCUGUGCUCGAACCUUGCCCUGACAUAGAAAAUACACAAAUCGGGUUGCCUUAACAAGAAAACAAGAUACAUUAGCAUCAAUUUUAAGUUAAGACAACACAUAUAACAUAAUAUGACGAGUCAAAUACAUUAAUAGUUUAAAUAAACUUAAUGAAAAUACUAAGACGACAAAUAAUUCAAAUAAAAGGUAAAUUUACAAAUAUGAGUUCCAAAAAUAUUUGAUCAACAAAUACAAUGAGUUACUCUUCCAUAACAUCUAUAACAUUUAUGUCAUUAUUUAUCGAAAGUAUCUCAUAACAUCCAUCUUCAACUUCAACAAGAUAUUCAGAUUUCAGAGCAAAGUUGUCCCUUGGCUUAAUAACAACAGGCACCACCCAUGGCCUAUCACGUGGAUCUUCGACGUAGAAUGCUUGCAAUACUUGUGAUGGCAGAACAAAAGGAUUUGCUUUUGCAUCUGGCCUGGAUAAAUUCACAAGUGUAAUGCGUAGGUUGUCCCUCUUGUUCGUACGAAUAUUAGCCCAAUCACACUCGAACAAGACUACUUUUUUUUCACCAACAUUGAAUGAAAGUUCAAUGAUGUCUUUUAUUACGCCAUAGUAGCCUACAUCUUCAUCUCUGGGAGAUUUAUCCUUCGAACUCGCGAAAACUGGUAGUUGUUGCUUUGACAAAAAUACCACUAUUUUGAGUAAAAUGAGAUUCUUCAGACGAUUUUGUACGAAAUGUAAACCCUUGAACAUCAAGUCUCUUAAAAGUCUUCACUCUAAAAUCAGGGGAACUAGCCAAGACUCUGAGAUUUUCAUCUAUUCCAACCUUUCUUUGCACAUAGUUGGCCAACGAACGGUUACUUAUCUUAAGUAACAAAAUAUGAAAAUUAAUCACAAUCUAAUGGAAUACACUUACACAUGAUUGAAACCAACGACGGAAUUCUUUGUCCUGUAACAGUUGAAUUCGCCAUUGGUAAGUAGGGUCACUCGUUGAGAUUUUAUUCUUAACGGUCUCUAAAUGCUCCCUAAGAAAAGGGUAUAUUAUUUUAAAACAUGAAAUGAAAAGUAUUGAAAAUUAACAUACCAUAUAGAUAACUUACUAAAUGUAAGGUUGAACUUCGUCACAAUUGAAAAGGCAAUAGUUGUGUGCCUUCUCCAUUAAAUCUGAUUGAGGACCUUGUACUUAGGAUGUACAUCACUAUCAUUUGAUACUCCCGAGAAUAUUAAAAUGCACUUUGUGGUUCAUCAUCACAAAGUGUAGCUGAGGAGUUUUCUAUGUAUAGUGAGCAAACGUUUAAGCAUUCCUCAGUGACGUAACAUUCAGCAAUAGAGCCUUCAGGAAACUUUUUAUUACGAACAAAACUCUUUAAGUGGCCCAAAUAUCUAAUGUCAAAGGAAAUUUUAUAAAGAUUAGAUUUUAUUAUUAUAAUUUAAUGGAAAUUAAAUAUGACAUUAGCUCUUGAAAAAGUUAUAAAUACCUCUCUAUUGGAUACAUCCAUCGAUAAUUGAAUAAUAGUACAAGCCAUCUUGUUUGGUAACCCCACAUUGAGAAUUGCCAAUGGAAGCAAUUGUUGCACCAAUACAUGAUAGUCGUGACUCUUCAGUCCCCUACAUUGUCUUCAUUCACACAACGGGCUAUAUUGGAUGCAUAGCCGUUAGGAACCUUAAUGUUUGAUAUAACAUCACAAAGCAAUUUCUUAGACUAGACAGACAUCUUGUGAUACUUCCCAAGUUUUGGGACUAGAGUGGGAAACCGUGGACCAAUCUUACCAGAUGGUGGUUUUUUUUUUUUAUUCAAUGUCCUCCUUUGCAUUUUGAAAACCAUCAUUUUUGCUAAGAAGAUUUAAUAGCCACUUUAGUAACAAUUCCCCAAUAUUCUUCUCAAUAUGCAUGACAUCCAAGUUAUGACGUAUCAAAUUAUCUUUCCAAUAAGGUAAUUCAAAGAAAAUACUUCUCUUAGCUUUCUGCAUUGAGAAUCUCUAUGAACUGCUUGGCCUACGCCAAAUACAACAUCGAUUCCCUCCGUUUUUGAUAAAACAUCUUCCCCGGAUGGUAGAGGUGGUGCCCCUUCCUCUGGAAAGCGGCUAUGUCCCAUAAAACAUUGUUUGUUUGACUUGUACAAACGCUCAGAUACGGUAUCUUCAGCACAGCUAGGACAAGCAAGAUAACCGCUCGUGCUCCACCUCGAUAAAUUACCAAGUGCCGGGAAGUCAUUAAUAGUCCACAAGAGGGCCGCUCGCAUAUUAAAGUACUGUUUGGUGGACAUAUCAAAAGUUUGAAUUCCAGAAAUCCACAACUCUUUCAGCUCAUCUAUCAAUGGUUGCAAAUAAACAUCAAUGCCAUUUUUAGGUCCCUUGGGAUCAGAAAUAAGCAAUGACAUCAUCAUAUGAGAACGUUGCAUGCACAAAUUUGGUGGCAAAUUGUAAAUCAUUAGAAUAACAGGCCACAUGCUAUACUUGCUACUUAAUGAUCCAAAUGGAUUGAAAUCAUCUGUAGCCAAACCUAGCCUUACGUUUCGAGAUUCCAAAGAAAAUGACUCAUGUUUCUUAUCGAACUCUUUCCACGCAUCGGAAUCAGCAGGAUGCCUGAGAACUCCAUCGUUACAUCAAGUCUCCGCAUGCCAUCUCAUGUUAAUGGAUGUUUUCUCACAUAUAAAUAAACUCUUAAGCCUCGGAAUCAAGGGAAAGUGUCGCAAAACCUUUUUGGGUACUCUUUUGCGGCGAGUGGUUGAAGAACUCGGCUGGUUCUACAUGGAAGUCUUCCAUCGUGAAGCAUUACAAACUCUACAUGAAUCUAAGUCUGUAUCAUCCUUUCAGAACAACAUGCAAUCAUUCUCACAUGCAUCAAUUUUCACAUAACCACACCCGAAUUUCCCAGUCAACUUCUUAACUUCAUAAAAAGAGUCGGGAAUAUUUAGACCAGGAAAACGUCUUAAUUAGUUGGAGUGUGCCUGAAAACGUCUUAUCGCUCAUCUUGCCUCGAGAUUUAAUUUUGUAGAAUUCCAUCACGAAUGAAAGUUUAUAAUUUUCUUAGCAUCCAUCAUAUAGAGGGAUACACCACUCUUCAAUGAGUUUACGAAAAUCAUCAACUUCCGGUGUAGAUUCUUCAAAUGAUUCGUGAUGAUCAGGAUGAAUACAUGCUUGCAACAAUUCUUCCAUGUUCUCACGACCGCUCGCACCACCAUCAGUUUCAUUCACAUCUUCAACUUCAGAAAUUCUGAA
rnacentral:lncRNA from 1 species